rnacentral:rRNA from 1 species
UACGUAGGGUGCGAGCAUUGUCCGGAAUUAUUGGGCGUAAAGAGCUCGUAGGCGGCCUGUCGCGUCGGAUGUGAAAGCCCGGGGCUUAACCCCGGGUCUGCAUUCGAUACGGGCAGGCGUGGAGUUCGGUAGGGGAGAUCGGAAUUCCUGGAUGUAGCGGUGAAAUGCGCAGAGUAUCAGGAGGAACACCGGUGGCGAAGGCGGAUCUCUGGGCCGAUACUGACGCUGAGGAGCGAAAGCGUGGGGAGCAAACAGG